rnacentral:lncRNA from 1 species
GCCGCAACACUAUUUAUAAAUCAUGACCAUGAUGCAAUAAGGUGAGUCCAUGUUUGAGCACACUGCGAUUGGUUGUAUAAAUCACGAUGUUUCAGCACUGCAAAUUAACCUGGGAGUAAAGAUUCUUUCACGUUAUUUCUUUUACAGGUACCCAAGAGCGUUCAGUAAUUUGCGGCUUUUAAAAUUGCUUACUCUGGUAUAAACUUAUUAAUGGUGUCUUUUUUGAGUAAUAUGACACCGUUAAGGUUUGAGUUUGGAUCUCUUCUGAGAGCAA